rnacentral:rRNA from 1 species
UACGUAGGGUGCGAGCGUUAAUCGGAAUUACUGGGCGUAAAGCGAGCGCAGACGGUUAUUUAAGUCAGAUGUGAAAUCCCCGAGCUCAACUUGGGACGUGCAUUUGAAACUGGGUAGCUAGAGUGUGUCAGAGGGGGGUGGAAUUCCUGGUGUAGCAGUGAAACGCGUAGAUAUCAGGAGGAACACCGAUGGCGAAGGCAGCCCCCUGGGCCUGUACUGACGCUCAUGCACGAAAGCGUGGGGAGCAAACAGGAUUAGAUA